GCAGUCUGCAACUCGACUGCAUGAAGCUGGAAUCGCUAGUAAUCGCGAAUCAGAAUGUCGCGGUGAAUACGUUCCCGGGUCUUGUACACACCGCCCGUCACACCAUGGGAGUUGGUAACGCCCGAAGUCAGUGACCCAACCGGAAGGAGGGAGCUGCCGAAGGCGGGACCGGUAACUGGGGUGAAGUCGUAACAAGGUACC
rnacentral:rRNA from 1 species